CUGUAACCAAUGGCUGCGCUCAUACAUAUACAUACUGGUUACCGUGUGAAUUUCACCGAUGAUUGCUGCAGUUAAACUCUGUAACGGCGGGAGGCUCAUCACUGAUUAGAGAUGAACAAAACUAAAAAUUGCAUUGUUGGAAAGCCGGGAUAAUUUCUCACGGGAACUCUCAGUAUUUUCAAAGCUUGCAAAAACUAUUUCAACUGCACAGGACGUUGGUCAGCGACCAGAAGAAUCAAUUUCUCUAGAAAGCGAAAGGUAAUAGGUACACCAGGAGUUGUGAUAAAGACUCGGAUAUCAAAAAGAUUCAUUCCGGAAUUCUCUUGAUUGAGGUUCAUUUACUGAUGAGGCAAAAUCAUGUUCUGCGGUUUGAGGAUAUAUAUUUUUAUGUGGAUAGCAAGUGAAGCAAUUUGUAGCCUAGGUCUUAGGAAAUCAUCAACGUUUUUACGGGGUUAAAAUUUACGAAGUCAAAAAUAAUUCGUUAGCUGGUCACUGGCCAGUACAGGUUUUAUCGGGAUGGUUACAGGUCCAAGAGUUCGAAGAUCUCAUGAUCUCAUGACAAUGCAUUGCGCAAGCCCUCAGAUAAUUUCAGAUUCUGGAAUCCCCCCUUUUCGUGGUAUAUUUAUGAAUAUCAAGAUUCAAAUUUCACCCAAAACAGUGCAUUGUGAAUCUUGUGGCACCAGAAUGGAUUCCGUGACACUCUUCAUACACAAAUUGAAAACCGAUAUAACAGGCUUUUUCCACGAAGAGACUUUAAGAAACCGGACGAUGAUUUGACGUCAUUAAUUUUGAAUCUUUCCGAUAACGCUCUGUUGAAGGACAAAACUAUCAUUCGUACUAAAAAUCGCUGGAGGAAUUGUGAUUUGUGAGGCAGAAUGCAGGCUCUGGGUACGAGGUUGAAUGCAGGCCUUCUUUUAUCAACCAUCAAUAAGGCUAGUCAAAGAAUGGAAGCCGUUUUAUUAAGGCACCGAGUUUUAGAAAAGCGAACUCUCAUCCUUCAGCACCCCUUAGCAACCACAAGAAGAGGAAGUCUAAACACAAGUACACACUAUAUUUCACAUCAGAAUAUGUAUAUAUGUACCCAUAAAACCUUCAGAAAACCAUUCAGAUAUUAUUUUUCUGUGUGCUUAUAAAAGGGUAAUCUCGUAGCUCAUGUAUUAGGGGAUUUUUAACACAGUAAAAUUCAGCCAUGUAUGUUGGUAUAUCCCCCGAUGAAGGGGAUUAUUGAAAGGCUAAAACGACGUAAUAUCUUUAGUUUCUUUACGGACUUUACCCGCGCAUAUAGACUGAAAGACAUCCUUUAUCAAACGGAAAAGACCUCUUGAGAUUUUACGCUUAAGCUCUUUGUUUUUUAAUAUGGUUUACCAGGAACACGGUAGUUCUUUCAAGGAGAUCAAAUUUGUGGCUCUGCAUGUGAUUAUUAAACAAGUGCUACCCCCGCAUACUAGGAAGUCGAUAAAAUACGACAAGAAAUACAGCAAAUUCCGUUUCUAAUACUUUACGAUUUUCGCUGCUAAUUUCUGCCGUUCUUCCCUUUAUUUUAUACUCGCAAUAUUGAUGGAAACCAUCGUGUCUUCGGUCCACAAACUGUUUAAAGCGUUUAAAUCAUUAUAUGAGAGAAGUACUAUUAAUAUCUAGAAAUACAAUACAUCGCCUUCUGAAACGAUGACGCAGCUAAUUGUGGGUGUUAUAUUUACCCGUCUUAAUUGUUAUGGAAAUAACCACAGUGAAAUUCCUACGAGGAUAUUAUCGCUAUACACGCACAAAGAGUUGAUACUAACGCAUUUUCGAUACGUCCAUAAUAGAAGCAGAACUUAUUGAGCGACGUUUUAAAGAAAAAUUACAGAACAGCGAGUGGUUUUAUAAGAGAUUCGGCAAACAUGGGUUGGCAGAAGUUGUCAGAGAAACCAGAACAGUCUAAUAUUAAUAACGCAAGAACUACCAGCCGGAGACAGCGACCAAAUUCAGUCUCCAUUACUGGAAGGGAAGUCGAGCGGAUUAUUCUACAAAGAGAGUUUCGUAGUACGGAAUUGACCACUACGGUUCAAGGAAACGAAUUGGAACGAACACAAGAAUCUGCGGUGAAAUGCACCAUCGUUGGAACAAUUUUAAGAAUCGUAGGCGAUAAAUUUGACAAUGUUAGAAAAGAUAACUACGAAAUUACUCAUUACGGGCCGGUUUGAACUCGCCUGCAAUGUAAAAAUCAUUCUCUAGAUGGUGAGCUUUCACUGUCGAUGGUAUCACUAGAUCGUCAUACUAAUAUAUCCUGACAUAUCAAAUUACCAAACAUUACAUAUUCACAUAUCCCCUUGGUGUCGCUGUAAAGAUAAAGUAUAAUUAAAUCGAACUCAAGUCUAUGAAGUUCUACGUGUAAUCUCUAGAGGAAAUUCAAAAUACCCGGUCCAUUUGGAACUGCCACAGCUGACAACCCGGGCGAAAAUGAUAAAAAAAUAAAGAAAUUGAAAUGAAAGUGAACGACAGCAUAUGAAUAACUAAUAUAUAUACGUAUUAACAAAUGAUGAUGGAACAUAACUAUAUCAAUGUUCAACUAUUUGUGUAAAAUAGACCGUAUCUAUGCAAAUCGGUUCGGAAUAAAAUAACAAAAUAU